AUUGAACGCUGGCGGCAUGCUUUACACAUGCAAGUCGAACGGCAGCACGGGGGCAACCCUGGUGGCGAGUGGCGAACGGGUGAGUAAUGCAUCGGAACGUGCCUAGUAGUGGGGGAUAACGCGUCGAAAGAUGUGCUAAUACCGCAUACGCACUUAGGUGGAAAGCGGGGGAUCGCAAGACCUCGCGCCAUUAGAGCGGCCGAUGCCCGAGUAGCUAGUUGGUGGGGUAAUGGCCUACCAAGGCGACGAUCGGUAGCUGGUCUGAGAGGAUGAUCAGCCACACUGGGACUGGGACACGGCCCAGACUCCUACGGGAGGCAGCAGUGGGGAAUUUUGGACAAUGGGCGCAAGCCUGAUCCGGCCAUGCCGCGUGAGUGAAGAAGGCCUUCGGGUUGUAAAGCUCUUUCGGCCGGAACGAAAUCGUCCGGGCUAAUACCUCGGAUGGAUGACGGUACUGAAAGAAGAAGCACCGGCUAACUACGUGCCAGCCGCCGCCGUAACAC
rnacentral:rRNA from 1 species